AGGCCAUAUCACGUUGCAACGCCAGUUCCCGCACAAUCACCGAAGUUAAGCAACGUCGAGCUUAGUCAGUAUCUAAAUGGGUAACUGCUUAGGAAUACCAUGUGCUGUAA